rnacentral:lncRNA from 1 species
GCGAGGUCGCGGGCCGAGGACCAGGCGCGGGAGCGGGAGCGGGCGACUGGCCGGGCCCUCCCGGUCUCGGCAGCCACUUCUAGCUCCCGGCCCAGCCGGGAGACGCAGGUGCCACGGAGAUGGGCAGCCGGGCGGGUGGCGCAGUGCAGGCAGCUGUAUCAAUCGCUUCCCCUCCAGGGACCCGCCGGUGCCUGGGGACCGCGGGCUGUGCAGCUGUGCCGGGCCUGCGGAGGCCGCCGCCCGGGAGCUGGGAGGCAGGGGGCGCGUGGUCAAGAGCCGCCCUCGACCUGGCCUGGUCGGUCCUGGCCCGGCGUAGGUGACGAUGGCGGGGACCGCGAGGCGCCGGACACCCGAGGCCACGAGCAGCGUCGCCCCUCGCUUUUUCGCGCCCCUCCAGCCCUGCAGUCCUUCCUCUAAGUCCGUCUGCCCCUCACCGAUUGAAAGUGGCCCCGAGAAUAUUGGAUGAGUGAUCUGGUGUCAGGACUGUAAAAUACGCCUAUGAAAACUGGGGGAGAGGAAUAAAACAAGCUGGCAGAACGUUUUUCAUCGUUGAAGCUGCGUGAUGCGAGCAUAUGUGCUCAUCAUACAGUCUCUUUACUUGUGUAUCUGAAAUUUUCCAUAAUAAAAAGUUUAAAGAAGUGAACCAGCGAUUGCCUCUAGGGAGGACAGUGAGGUGGCGGAUGACGGGAGGAAGGAGUCUUAAUUUUUCGCUGUACGCCUUUUUGUGCUAUCUUAGGUUUUUCCCAUUCAAUGUGUUACCUAAUUCAGAAAAUUGGUAAGUUUUUUUUAAGGCUACCAUGGGAAAACAGCGUUCUAAAGAGUAGCGCAACCAGUUCCCCCUAAGAGAGGUGCAUGAUUCGUCGGACUCCGACAGCCUUGGUGUUUGUUAGGCGGUUAAUGGAGACCCACCUGGGAAAUUAGAAAACUACUAAUUGCUUUCAGUGAGAAGCCCGCCCUUCUCCCACAAAUGGAUAAUUUGCUUUUAAUGCACCCAGAAGUUAUCCAGCUCCCUCCGGUAUAAUCGGGGAAACUCCAAAUAAAGGAAAAAUAGUUCAGAGACCCUGCAGCUCUUCCCAAGAGGAAUUUAAGGUGGAUUUUAGUGUGGUUGGAUUGUUUUGCCUACCUGACUGCAGAAUUUAUAUUCUGACAUUUACAAUUUCCUAAAUACUGAAUCAGUACUUUUUCUUGUUUCAAAAUAAAUCAACUUCUUCUGUAGUUUAUAUGAAAAACAAGUCCAUGUCUUCCACUGUGGGUGGGAUGCACAUGACUGUUUUAUUUGGGUCAGUUUUGUCUCUUUUUUUAAUUGGCAGUUUAGGAACUUGUUUUUAUCAUUUUGUUUAAAGAUCUUCUGGCAGAGGUGCAGGCUGCACUUACUAUAAUUAUUUAGAUGACAAGGUGGUGGGUGGUAAUUAAAGGGUAAUUAUCAUCAGAGGCAAAAGGUAAGAUCAAAAAACCAGAAGAGGUGAGGAAACAAUUGCAAGAUCUUCCUGUAGGAGGGUGUCGUGAUCCUCCCAAGACCAAAGGAUAUGUCUAUUAUGCCUGGCCUCUCUAGUGCUGGACACUUGGCAGGGUCAGUGCCUGCAUGAGGCUGAAGUGGAAGGGCUUAUUGUUUAGACUGGUGCCUUUUGAGGGCUUUUAUGUGAUGGUUGUGUUAAGUAAUGAAACUUAGUAGUGUCAAAUUCUUGCCACUCAAAGAAUGAUCCCCAAUCAGCAGUGUAGCAUCACCUGGAAGCCUGUAAGGAACGCAUAAUUCCUAUCCCUCACCCCAGCUCCACUGAAUCAGAACCUGCAUUUUAACAGGAUUCCCCCAGCUGAUUGGGCUGCACAUUAAAGUUUGACAAGCACUGAUUUAAAGUAUACCCAUAGCAUUUGACAGCAAUCUAGUAUUUUUCGUUAGGAUGAGGGAGAGGAAGGGAGAUGAUUAAGAACCUCCUAUGCAUCAGGUAAGAUGCUAGGCUGUUCAGGGGCCUUGUCUGCUUCCCAGUCCAUUACUCUAUCUUACAAGUAAGGAAAUGGGAAGACUUGUAUGUUACAACUAAUGAGGGAGUCAAACUUUUUCUUGACGGUUGGAUACCCUUUAGUACUUCUUGGUGUUCUUGAAUCUGGUAGAAAGUGGUACAUGAUUUGAGAAGUAAAGUGUGUGUGAGUGUGUGUGUGUGUGUGUGUGUGUGUGUGUAUUUAGUCUGUGGAAGCUUAGUAUAUGAAUAUUAAGCAGAGCUCUUCUGGGCUCUGUACCCUUGUGUGGCUCACACUAAAGACACCCCUCGGGCCCCUCCUGGAGGGAGUUCAGACUCCUGGCCCUGCAGGCUGUACCACCACCUUAACCCCUUACCUCCCUGCUUCCACUGAGGCAAGCAAAUGCCCUGAAGUCCCCUCAUUCCCUUACCAGGGCCCUGGGUUCCACACCAGAAUGAGCAAACAGAACUCCAGUGUGGGUAACACAUGGCUGAACAGCUUUUUGUUGUAUUGUUUUUGUUUUCUUAGUUCUCUCAGCUCAGGCUCCAUCCCCCUGGCCACCUCAACCCCUAGAAUGGUUGUCUCCAUUUCAUGAGAAUCUUCACACUAACAUCAAGUAGCCAGUAGGUGCUUUUGGUUUUGCUAGAAUGCCUGUGUGCAAGCUCUCAGAUACCUGAUUUUCUUUCCCCCACUGAAUGUUGUGUUUGUCAGAAACUGAAAUCAUGGAUCAGAGCCAAGUUUGUAGUACCCUUAGGAGGGGCCUCUGCCCUCCUGUGUGCUGCCUGGGUGAGGACAGAACCCCCUAACCUGGAGCUCCACUUGAGUGGGCCCAUACCUGUACUUUCCUCUGAAAAAAGAAAAUCCUGCAAAGAAAAUAGAAGACAUCUGUUCUGCCAUUGCCAUGCCCUUGUUCUAGCCCAGACAUGAGAACUGUCAGAAUUGGAGUUACUAAAUAGAACUUUUAGUCUUUUUCUGAUAAUGUGUAGUAAAGUGUAUUACAACUUAUAGAAUUCUAUUUAGGGAACUACAGGUCAGAAACUACCAUAUUGGUAGCAGUCAAUUUUUCUUUGCCAUCGGAUGUGGAAUAAAAUGUUAAAUUGUA